rnacentral:lncRNA from 1 species
GAAAGACCUCUGGAUUUUAUGAGAACAGAAAGGCUGAUUAUUUGGAAAUGUCAUCAGGGCAGUCUCAUGGAGUUGGAGUUUCCAGAUAGAACCCAUCUACUAUGGCACAGAGUUUCGUGUGCACCUGUUUUAGUUGGUGAUGAUGAUUGCAGGUUGGCUGGCAGGGUUCAGGAAAAUAAGCCGUGUCUUAAUGUUUUAAUAAGUUUUAAAAAUAGUUCACAAUUUAAGAUCCUCAGAAUGGGACUUAGACCAAUAUGAGAAACGGAGUGCUUUAAUUGCAUGACCAACUACACAUUAGAGCCCUGGAAUCUAUCCCACUGUUAUUUACAAGUAUUGUGUUAAAGACUAGUUGGAACCCUCUCAGGAGAAAUUAGCAGUUACAUUUUCUUAUUUUUACAAUUUAUGCUCAAGGUGCAUUUACUUCGAUGUAAGCAGCCUCUUUUCUACUAUAACACUCUCAUGCCAAUCUAAAAUUGGACAAUGGGUUUCCUGCUUUACAGCAGCAAAAAUUGUUCUCCCUCUCCUGAAGUGGUUGACUGGGUUUCUUCACAUUCGGCUGUCACCCUCCACCAGCUGAGGGAGCAAGAGACCUCUGCAUGGGAGGCUACAGCCCCACCUCCUGGGUCUCCUGCAGGGCCGUCUCCGUUUUCAGAGUAGGAUGAGUACCUGCCUUAGUAACAGCAAUUCAGUUACCCUGAAGUUUUACUUUGUCCAAAAAGUUUCACCAAGAGCUUGUAUUUUAAUGAGAUACUUUAAAAAUAUAUUUGGGAAUGUAUAAGGCAAACGGAUUCUCUAUUAUUUAUACUUAGUGCAUUCGCCUACUGAAAUUUGAGGGUUUUCUAAGAUAUAUAUAAAUAUCACAAUGUAAAUAUAGCUUCUCGCUCUUCCUCUCUCUCUUUCUCACACACACACGCAAGCACACGCACCCACCCACACACGCACACACACAUCAAGGAAAUGCCAUAUGUCCCAAGUGAGGCCCACUGGAAAAAAACAAAAGUGCUGAACAUAUCACUCAGGAUCAUUGUGAGAGGACAGUCGUCAGCUUUCUCUCUGGCAAUGAGAAUUUUCUCACCCUCAAGACAUGCAAAUUACUUUUUUCAUCUGUUCUUUUUAUGUUAUUUGCAUAAUUUUCUCCUGCAAAAGUGAGAGCUGUCAAAAAUUAACCAUUUGGGGCUUUGGCAUUCAGUUAUGUGACCUUUUCCAGAGAGUUAGAUCUCUUCAGGGAACUAGGAACUUGAUGAGGAAGUGCUGAGAAGGUGAUCAGUGGCAGAAAGAGCGGAUGACGGAUGGGGACCAGCAGACAGUGAGGAGCUCAACAUAACAGGGAAAAGGAGCACAGGAUGCAGCUACUUAGAGGGUGUUGAUUGAAAACUUCGAUCUCCCCACCCCAUCACGGUUGAUUUGACGGAUUUCUCACCUCGUUCACAGAGAAAAUUUCAAUUAAGGCACAUGGAGACGGACCUCUACCUGCAAUGCCCCCCUUGCACUUGGACAGAACCAUGUGACUAUUUAUAAGCUAUGACACAUGAGCAGACAUGACAUGACGGGAUUGAUGGAGCAAUGACCUCAUCUUUUCUCCUGCCAAAUAUUAUGAAAGAGGACUCAAGUCACUCACCUGAGGGACACUGGGUGAAAGUCAGUAAUGAAGCUGAAAGGUCGCUAAAUGCUGGCAAGUGAGAUGGAUUAUAGUGUCUAGACUUUUUCCUGAGGUCAUUCUAUAUCCAGCAGAUAUCUUUCAGUAUAUAGUCUAUUCAGAACAAUGUGCUAGUGACUAUUGAGUGUGGUUACAUUCUUUUUUUUUUUUUUUUUUGAGAUGGAGUCUCACUCUGUCCCCUAGGCUGGAGUGCAGUGGCACAAUCUUGGCUCACUGCAACCUCUGCCU